CGAGGGGCAGCAUUUCUAGCUUGCUAGAAGAUGGCGACCGGCGCACGGGUGAGUAACGCGUAUGCAACCUACCUUACAUUGGGGGAUAGCCCAGAGAAAUCUGGAUUAAUACCGCAUAAUAUAUUUGAAUCGCAUGGUUUAAAUAUUAAAACUCAGGUGAUGUAAGAUGGGCAUGCGUAGCAUUAGUUAGUUGGUGAGGUAACGGCUCACCAAGACGAUGAUGCUUAGGGGGUCUGAGAGGAUAGUCCCCCACACUGGUACUGAGACACGGACCAGACUCCUACGGGAGGCAGCAGUGAGGAAUAUUGGUCAAUGGACGCAAGUCUGAACCAGCCAUAUCGCGUGCAGGAUGACGGCCCUAUGGGUUGUAAACUGCUUUUUUACAGGAAUAAACGUCGCUACGUGUAGUGAUUUGAAUGUACUGUAUGAAUAAGGAUCGGCUAACUCCGUGCCAGCAGCCGCGGUAAUACGGAGGAUUCGAGCGUUAUCCGGAUUUAUUGGGUUUAAAGGGUCCGUAGGCGGUCUUUUAAGUCAGUGGUGAAAUCCCAGAGCUCAACUCUGGAACUGCCAUUGAAACUGAAAGACUUGAAUAUGGUUGAGGUAGGCGGAAUACGUUAUGUAGCGGUGAAAUGCAUAGAUAUAACGUAGAACACCAAUUGCGAAGGCAGCUUACUAAACCAUUAUUGACGCUGAUGGACGAAAGCGUGGGGAGCGAACAGGAUUAGAUACCCUGGUAGUCCACGCCGUAAACGAUGAUUACUCGUUGUGCACAAUACGUCGUGCGUGACUGAGCGAAAGCAUUAAGUAAUCCACCUGGGGAGUACGUUCGCAAGAAUGAAACUCAAAGGAAUUGACGGGGGCCCGCACAAGCGGAGGAACAUGUGGUUUAAUUCGAUGAUACGCGAGGAACCCUACCUGGACUUAAAUGUAGAUUGACCCUCUUAGAAAUAGGAGUUCUCUUCGGAGCAAUUUACAAGGUGCUGCAUGGUUGUCGUCAGCUCGUGCCGUGAG
rnacentral:rRNA from 1 species